GAAACAGCUGAAACGAGGAGAACGUUAUGUAGUGAGGGUUAGAGCAAGACCGGUAAAAGAACUCCAUGGAGCCUGGAGUGAAUGGAGCUCGGAAGCUGAGUGGAGAAAUGAUUAUAGUCUUACCAUACUGGAUCAGAUGGAUAUCAUUAUCCCAAUUACCUGCAUUGUGAUGUUAUGCCUGCUUAUAGGAUGUUAUGCCUGCUUUACCAGAUGCAAGAAGACAUGGUGGGAUACUAUUCCAAGCCCAGCAAAAAGCACCUUUGUCAAGAAAAAACUGAUACAGAAACACAGAUCAUUUCCAGA